GACGAACGCUGGCGGUGUGCUUCACACAUGCAAGUCGAACGGAGUAGCAAUACUCAGUGGCGGACGGGUGAGUAACACGUGGGAAUCUACCACUAGGUGGGGAAUAACAGGCCGAAAGGACUGCUAAUGCCGCAUAUGUAGGCAUCUCGACAGAGAUGUUUAUGAAAGGAGUAAUCCGCCUUUUGAUGAGCCCGCGUCCGAUUAGCUAGUUGGUAGGGUAAAAGCCUACCAAGGCGACGAUCGGUAGGUGGUCUGAGAGGAUGAUCACCCACAAUGGGACUGAGACACGGCCCAUACUCCUACGGGAGGCAGCAGUGGGGAAUUUUACGCAAUGGGGGAAACCCUGACGUAGCGACACCGCGUGAGCGAAGAAGCCCUUUGGGGUGUAAAGCUCUGUCAACAGGAACGAAACAAAUGACGGUACCUGUGGAGGAAGCAUCGGCUAACUACGUGCCAGCAGCCGCGGUAAGACGUAGGAUGCAAGCGUUGUCCGGAUUUAUUGGGCGUAAAGAGUUCGUAGGCGGUUUGUUAAGUCUGAUGUUAAAGACCGGGGCUCAACCUCGGAAAUGCAUUGGAUACUGGCAGACUGGAGUGCAGUAGAGGCUAGUGGAAUUCCCAGU
rnacentral:rRNA from 1 species